rnacentral:rRNA from 1 species
UACGGAGGGUACAAACGUUACUCGGAAUCACUGGGCAUAAAGCGCGCGUAGGCGGUCUACCCAGUUAGGUGUGAAAGCCCCCGGCUCAACCGGGGAACUGCAUCUAAUACUAGUAGACUUGAGAAUGGUAGGGGUAUGUGGAACUUCAGGUGGAGCGGUGAAAUGCGUAGAUAUCUGAAGGAACACCAGUGGCGAAAGCGGCAUACUGGGCCAUUACUGACGCUGAGGCGCGAAAGCUAGGGUAGCGAAC